rnacentral:lncRNA from 1 species
UCAAGUAUUAAAAUUCAAGGCUAUCAUUUUUAGCCCACCUAAAGUUAAAGUCUAGCCAAUUUAAAUAUGAUACAAAGUGCAAGCCCUAACCCAUUAGCACCAGCCCAAAUCCUACAAUCUUUUUAAUCCCUAAAUAAUUCUUAAACAACAUUGUUCCUCAUUCUUUCUUUUUCUGAAUGACAGAGAGGAGGUAAGAGAGUAGA